UACGUAGGGUGCAAGCGUUGUCCGGAAUCAUUGGGCGUAAAGAGCUCGUAGGCGGUCUGCCGCGUCUGCUGUGAAAACCUGGGGCUUAACCCUGGGCUUGCAGUGGGUACGGGCAGACUAGAGUGCGGUAGGGGAGACUGGAAUUCCUGGUGUAGCGGUGGAAUGCGCAGAUAUCAGGAGGAACACCGAUGGCGAAGGCGGGUCUCUGGGCCGUUACUGACGCUGAGGAGCGAAAGCGUGGGGAGCGAACAGG
rnacentral:rRNA from 1 species